CCUGUAUCAGCUCCAUCAGAAGCACCAUGCUGCUCUAGAGGGACAGACAAACCAGAAGUGAGACACCAGAGAUACCAAGUGCUAUCUUUGAAAAAUGGACUUUUAAAAAACAUCCCCAUCCAGAAGUGCAUGAACACAGAUGAAGAAGAGGCAUCAGCCUGUGUAACAUCUCAGAUGGCUGUGGAAGGUGACAGAAAGAAGCAAGACUUGACAGACAGUGAAGGAGCCGUGCAGAUGGGAGUGGAUGCUCUGGGGAACAUUCUAAUGUUGAAAACAUUUACAGGUGAGUUGGAGCAUCUUCUUUCAGUCCUCGAUGUGCUUCACCAAAGAGGCUGCAGAUGACUCAUUUUGGCAGUUAACACAAAGCAGUGUUCCCAAAUUCCUGCUCAGUGUCUAGUCACUACAAAUUCCCUUUUUUUGCUAGCCCAUGGAAUUCAUUAGCUAUUUAUUUAUUUCCUUACUUACUGACUUCAACAAAAGCACAUAUUAAAUGUAGUUUAAUAAUAUCCUAAAAUGUUAAUUUUCUAUGUUCUAAACAAACAGAAUAUUCAUUCAAUCUGUGUGCCCAGUCAGAGAUGCAGUGGAUACAUAAUUUUUACAGGUAUAUUUAAUGUAUCUCUUCCAAUUUCUGGGAUGCUUCUUUACAUGUUAACUUUACACCCCUACUUAUCUGUUCUCCCCUUUUCUUCUGUCUAGACUUAAACAGUGAGAAGACAUUACAUGACUAAAAUGAAGUAGCUCAAAGAAAAAUUCACCAAUGCCCCAAAUCCACCAAAAAUGCCCCAAAGAAAGGGCAAGCUGACUUGGAAAACCAGGAGCCAUCUCUACUCCUACCAGCUGGAGCUUCUCCCACUUCUACAGCCAUUAAAGUUAUGAAAUGUUUGGAUGUUUUACUAAUUCUAUUAAGAAGCAGAAAGGCUGUUCCCACCAUGACCAGAAAAUGAAACAGCAGCAAUCACACGGGAAAACGCUCAACUUCCCAGACUCAGCGGUUUUAUUAGUGCAAAUACCCUCCAGACAGACAGCCACACAUUUUCCUGCUUCCUUACACUGAACCCUAAUUCAGCCUGGGGUGGCUAAGCUGGUGCUACUAACCUUCUUCUCCAGCUCAUUUCACCUGCCGGAAGGAGUGGCCUGCUGAUGAGGAUUUUGACCAAGGAUUCUAACACAUUUGUUGUUUAUUUUGUCUCUCUUUCUUUUGUGGAUUGCCUGAGUAACUUUGGGCAAGUUGUUGGUGUCCCAGCUCCCCAGCUAUGAAAUGGAAAUAGUAUGCUGAAAAACUGCAUCAAGAAAGUUAAUUUUGAUGAACCUGGUAUAUGCUGCUAAUAAAAAUUUUGGAAACACCA
rnacentral:lncRNA from 1 species